UACGUAGGGGGCAAGCGUUGUCCGGAUUUAUUGGGCGUAAAGGGCUCGUAGGCGGCCAACUAAGUCGGAUGUGAAAUCCCCAGGCUUAACCUGGGAACUGCAUCCGAUACUGGUUGGCUAGAAUCCGGGAGAGGGAUGCGGAAUUCCAGGUGUAGCGGUGAAAUGCGUAGAUAUCUGGAGGAACACCGGUGGCGAAGGCGGCAUCCUGGACCGGCAUUGACGCUGAGUGAGCGAAAGCCAGGGGAGCAAACGGG
rnacentral:rRNA from 1 species